CAUUUUACACACAGAAAAACACAGAUUCAUCUACGAAGCUAUAAGGCACCAGUAAAGUACUCUGCAAUCUGCAUCGUGGAACAAGCAAUUAAAGGAAAUCAUGAUAAACGAAGUGGAAGAGGAGAGAGGCCAUAUUUUCAUCUUCUGGAACGAAGAAAUUCCUCAGAAUCCUAAAACAGCAAAUAACCUCCAUAAAUAAAAUGGAUUUUUAAUGGAGGAGACGUUUUCAUUAGCCAGUUAAACCCAGGCUGGCCACUAAUGCGCGCACAGCACAAGACCACAUACAUUAAUUAACGGCUGCCAUCUCAGAUCUGCAAGUUGAAGAACACCAAGCAACAUCGUAUUGUGAGCAACAGAGAACAUGAGAUGGAUGAUUCAUAGAGAAAUUUGUUAAAAACUACAGAAAACAGAAAAAAACGCUCAGCGAUUAGAUCCGUGGUAAUGAAUGGAUGGGCAUCAAUUUGACUGAAACAAUACAUUUAAACUGUACACAAUUUAAAUGCAGAUUACUCUCUGCUUCCUCUCUCGAAGCAAAAAGAGGACACAGCGUUUUUCUUAGGACAAAAAUACCCUUUAAAAAAAUAGGACCAGAUUUGUACCACAUCGGACAAGAACGAAGAGCUAAAGAGCUUCAUAAAUAGUUCGAGGAGCACAUGACCGCACGACCUUACUUGAACAGGAUCUGUUCUAUAGGAUCGUACCUCUGUAUCCUUAAUCACUAAGGAGACAGGAACCUAAGCCUGGUUGAAGAACCAUGACCGUGUGAUCAUAGCGUGAGUAAUGGCUUGAUGGUCCUCGUGAUCAUCAUGGCUGUAGAGGAUCGUUUCCCAGCCAUUUACGUGGCUGGGAAUGGUCAUGCGGUUGUCUGACAGGCUUCUCUCUUUUUGAAACUACUAAGCGCAUGCAGUUUCGUUACAAAGUAAUGUAUUUAAAAUUCAUGAAGCGAACACCAGUCACCAGGAGCUAACCAAAAC
rnacentral:lncRNA from 1 species